ACCCAAGAUUAUGUCAUACGCAGUAGCAACAUACAGAGCAUAAUAAUCUGCAGAAACAUUGCCAUCUUGUGGCCAGUAGUAUACAUCAAAAAAGCUUAGCUCACAUCAGAACCUUUUAACUAUAAGCCUACACCUCAUAUCAACACCAACAUCUCAUGCACCGUCCUCCCAGAAUUUACUUGUAUGAAUUGCUAAAGCUGAACUACUAUUUUCAAAACCAAAAUCCAGUAAUGGAGAAUUAGAUGGACCUAUACUACUUUAUUUCAGCAAUACAUAUAUUUUAAUUGUUGCAGUGGCCUUCAAUUCCAGCUCCAGGUUAUUCCAAAUGGCUUCAUCCAUGAAAGAACAUGCCUUAGACUCUUCGGAAGUCCUCCAGCUUCUCUAAAUCCCCAACUCCGUCUCCUCACUCAUGUAUGCAGCUUCUCGUAGGAAUCUUGUUCCGUUCGGCACGCUCCCUGUGAUUUCUAUAGCCUUCGUUCCUACAACACAUAUAAUUAUUAUGAACCAGUAAAUUAUAUAUGUUGCUUAAAAUUUAUCCUCAGCAGCAACAUACCAUAGUAGCAUUGUUUGAGAUUCUGAAUUAUAAACACAGCCAGUAGCAUCAAAUUUUAUAUAUCAUGAGCACACAUAUGUACAUUGAUAAUAACGUGAGACAUGUGGGUACAUGCAUACAUUAUGCUAACCUGGUAAUCGUGAGCUUUAUUAGAAAAAUUGCCCCAAGAAACCCAGCAGAACUGGUUCCACUACAUAUAAUAUGAAUGCAUCUGCACGAAACUAAAGGAGCCGAGCCAGUGUUAGAGGAAAAGGUUUGCAAAUCGGCUUGAGGAUUCCCCGAGCCAGCCCAAUGUUCUGCGGCGAAUUAGGAACCAACAAAAAGCAGUAUCAUCAACCAAAAAGGAUCUGACUUAGUAGUACCUGG
rnacentral:lncRNA from 1 species